rnacentral:rRNA from 1 species
GUAGGGAAUAUUGGGCAAUGGGCGAAAGCCUGACCCAGCAACGCCGCGUGCAUGAUGAAGGUCUUCGGAUCGUAAAAUGCUUUUCUGAGAGAUGAGAAAGGACAGUAUCUCAGGAAUAAGUCUCGGCUAACUACGUGCCAGCAGCCGCGGUAACACGUAGGAGGCAAGCGUUAUCCGGAUUUACUGGGUGUAAAGCGCGUGCAGGCGGUUCGGUAAGUUGGAUGUGAAAGCUCCUGGCUCAACUGGGAGAGGUCGUUCAAUACUACCGGACUUGAGGACAGUAGAGGGAGGUGGAAUUCCCGGUGUAGUGGUGAAAUGCGUAGAUAUCGGGAGGAACACCAGUGGCGAAAGCGACCUCCUGGACUGUCCCUGACGCUCAGACGCGAAAGCUAGGGUAGCAAACGGGAUUAGAAACCCCAGUAGUCC